GCAAUGCAGAUCAGGAGCAGACUGCUGCAGCAGGGGGAAGGGGACAGACUGCUGUGCUGCUUUGCCAUUUAUCAGCACAGAGAGCUCACAGAG